rnacentral:lncRNA from 1 species
ACAGUGACAAAGAGACAGAGUAGGGUUCUAGGCCCCUGUUCCUGGGGACUUGAAGGCGGUUUUACAUACUGGUCAGACACGGCUGGAGGCCAAGGUCAAGUUGAAAGUUGCAGUCCAGCCAGCAUGAGAACUGCCAUGCGAGCGUAGAGACACAGGCAGCAGCAAAAGGCCCAUUGCCCACAUCCCCUCACUCUUAAUUUUCUCUCUCUUUUUAAAAUUCUCGCCUCUGACUCUGUUCGGCUGCCCAGAAUUUUUUGGUGCCUUCGUGGGGUUUUUGGGGCGGUGUUUACCGACUCUUCUCUGCCUCCGCCCUGCUCAGCCAGGGCUUUGAGCCUCUUCGGUUUUCCGGCCAGACCCGGAAAAACGAAAACACAGCUUGGGGAGCCCCCACUAGCCGGCGCCUGUGCCAGCUCACCUCUGGCCAUGGCGCAGCUGCCGGUGCACACGGCGGCCAAGGCCAGCUCCACAUUCUUCCCUCCCCCUCCCACUUCACCGUAGCCCCGAACCCUGCGCGCAGAGAAAGGGUCUCAGCUCCACAGACGACUGGGUCCCUCCUCACCAAAAAUGGUGAGACAAGAUUUCAUCUGUCGGCCGAGGAGCCACAAGCAGGUACCACAAAGCCACUAGUGCACAGGGACUCAGAAAAGACGGCAGGAGCCCAAGGAAAACUCCAAUUUGAGUACAGCCCUGCCUUGUUUCCCCCAGAGAGUCCCUGAGCAAGGAGACCUCCACCCCACACACACCAUUUCAGAACAACCAGGUUCCAGACUCCCAUGAGGAGCAUCUCCCACUGCAGAGCCUUGGCCAGCCGCGCCCGGACUCCUCAGAGCUGGCGCAAACUCCGUCCUCCAAAACUCGGCUCUGGGAGGCCUAAGUGACUCCGAAGCCGGCGGCAGCCGCGGCAGCGGCCGUGGUGGUGGAAGAGCUCUUUUCCCCGACAGUGCCACUGAUCGCUCUUCACUGGAGCUGGAAACAGCCUUCGCGGAAAGGACCGGAGCAUGCGUUAGAAGCAGAGGGAGCUUGGUGAAGGGCUCGGCUGGAAGGAGGAAACGCCUUCUCGCAGUGCGCGGCCAGCCCGCGGGGGACACCGGCUUGCUGGACUGCAGGGGCCCGUGCCACCCAGGAAGUGACCUGCGGGUCACUCAGCCGGGGCGCUGGGCGAGCGCGGGACGGCCCGGAGAAUUCCGUGCGGCUGCGACGGGAAAAGGACGAGGGGUCUCUGUACCCGACGCUGCCACUGGCCCAAAGGAAUUUUACCCGCGAGCGCCCACCCCACCCUAGCUUGAUGCUUACGCCCGCAACAAAACAGGAAACCAGGACUGGGCAGUGCAUUCUUUAAGUCAACAAAUACACUGAAGACUUCGAGCGUUUGAAGGAAGGAGGGGGUUUGCACGUAAGCCUGGCCCCGCCGGGCUCGGCUUUCUCGCUGAGAAAGCGGCGCAGGCAGCCAGGCGGCCUGGGCCCGCGGGGGUCCAUCUCGCCCUAGACUCCUAAGAACUCCCACGGCCCUGUUCCCAGCUGCGAAUUCUUAAUGCACAACGCGACGGAGGGAAGGAAAUUCACCAGCGCAGCGACGAGGAAGGGGAACUCAGGACCCCUUCAAGUACACACUGAGGUGUGAUCAGAGUUUUAUGGGCACUUUAUAUGCUGUAAUCAUAACGAUGUGUGUGCCUUGAUAUGCACGCAUAUUCACGCAUCAAACGUGCAUACACACACAGAGUGAAUGUGCGCAUCCAAUGUCAUGUGGGUGAAAUACAAGCAUCAUACCCAGCCCUACGAAAAAAAAAUUCACCCUGUCGGACCAGGCUGGUGACAUACUUCGCUGGCGCAUCUCCUUACUCACUCUUACUUUUCCGACCCCUCACCAUUCCCUCUCCUGUGGCUUGGUAAAUACACCUGCCCUCCGUGGAAGGUGAGUCCUGGACUGGCGUUGCCAGGUUCGCAUGUCCUCCCCAGAACCUCCGUCUGGCUCCAGGGACUCUCACUGAGCGGGUCUAGAGCACCCAGCACUUUUCAAGGAACAGCCGCGGUUCCUUUGUCCCGCGGCUCCAGCCCCGUUCGGCCCAGCUCUCAGGGAAACGAAGCGCUCAGUAAGAACUUUUGAUAUUAGUUUGUAUGGGUAUUUACACUCUGGUGAGGGGAGCUGAGUACGGAAGUUCCAUUAAUCAUACUCCAACCUUGGGUUUAGAUAUUCAGUUUAUGGGUUGGGAGAGGGAGUUUGCCGGAAAGAAAGCAUCAAGGUUGGCCGCUGACUCCAGAGAAAUGAAAAGGGAGCAAGGUCGUUUUCUGUUUCUGGAAAUCAAGAAUUAGGAAUGGGCAACUACAGGUGCUAACCAACAGACCACUUUUUUGUUUUUUGGUAGCCCUUUGGCAGGGAUAGUUUUUCCACCUUUGCCCGAUACAAUUUAAAAAAAAAAAUCCUUUUAUUAUGGAAUUUGUCAAACACACACACAAGCAUAACAAACCCCUAGGUACCCAUCUCCAAGUUUUGACCCCUAUUAUAAUUUCAUCUUCAGUGUUUUAUUAUCCACUUCCUCUCUCUCUAUCUUUAGUAUUUUAAAGUAAAUCCCAGAUAGCAUCACAUCAUUUCACCCCCACCAUAGGAUUUCAAAGAUCUGUUAUAUUUCAAGAUUGAGUAAAAGGGCUUGAAAUUGGGUUAUUGCAAUGAAACUCUAGAAAAAGCUUGAGGGUUCACCCAGGAGUAAGCUGGACAAAAAAGGGGUUUGAGGGGUGGACCCAUCUUGCCUAAAAAUCUUGUCUCAUCUUUCUAAAAAUUACAUAUGAAAGAGGAAGAUUUAUGUUACUUUUUUAUAUGAGAGAAUCGUCCUUUAAUAGAAAAUUUCUAUUGCUGCAUCAGAAUUAUGGAGGAACACAAAAAACAUACCUCAGUCCUUAGUGUGUCCUAAAUUAACACAUAUUCACUUAUUAGUGGGUAAAUGACUAUAUUUCAUUUCAGCACAACUUCUCCCCUGGUAGAAACACAAAAGAAAUUUCUAAUGAUUAAACUAGGAAAGUUUGCACUGAAUUGAUGGCUUAUCAGAGCAACCGCAGUUUUCAGGAAGAAAUUCAAUGCCAUGCGUUGAAAAUAUCCCCCUAGCAAUAAGGGAUUAUUUUUAAAAAAGAAUGAAUAAAGAUGUUCUGGUUUCUUUUGUUUUAA